GACGAACGCUGGCGGCGUGCCUAACACAUGCAAGUCGAACGAGGUCCAUCCAGUGGCAACACUGGUGAAGACCUAGUGGCGAACGGGUGAGUAACACGUGAGGAACCUGCCCCGAAGACCGGGAUAACUCUCCGAAAGGAGAGCUAAUACCGGAUAUCCCCACUCAGAUCGCAUGGUUCGAUGAGGAAAUGGAUUCCGCUUCGGGAGGGCCUCGCGGCCUAUCAGCUUGUUGGNGGGGUAACGGCCCACCAAGGCAUCGACGGGUAGCUGGUCUGAGAGGACGAUCAGCCACACUGGGACUGAGACACGGCCCAGACUCCUACGGGAGGCAGCAGUGGGGAAUCUUGCGCAAUGGGCGAAAGCCUGACGCAGCAACGCCGCGUGGGGGAUGAAGGCUCUC
rnacentral:rRNA from 1 species